rnacentral:tRNA from 1 species
GGAAAGGUGUCCGAGUGGUUGAAGGAGCACGCCUGGAAAGCGUGUGUAGGGGCAACUCUACCAGGGGUUCGAAUCCCCUCUUUUCCGCCA